AACGAACGCUGGCGGCGUGCUUAACACAUGCAAGUCGAACGAUGAAGGAGGAGCUUGCUCCUCUGGAUUAGUGGCGAACGGGUGAGUAACACGUGAGCAAUCUGCCCUUGACUCUGGGAUAAGCGCUGGAAACGGCGUCUAAUACCGGAUACGACCCUCGGAGGCAUCUCCUGUGGGUGGAAAGAACUUCGGUCAAGGAUGAGCUCGCGGCCUAUCAGCUUGUUGGUGAGGUAAUGGCUCACCAAGGCGACGACGGGUAGCCGGCCUGAGAGGGUGACCGGCCACACUGGGACUGAGACACGGCCCAGACUCCUACGGGAGGCAGCAGUGGGGAAUAUUGCACAAUGGGCGCAAGCCUGAUGCAGCAACGCCGCGUGAGGGACGACGGCCUUCGGGUUGUAAACCUCUUUUAUCCGGGACGAUAAUGACGGCACCGGAGGAAUAAGCUCCGGCUAACUUCGUGCCAGCAGCCGCAGUAACAC
rnacentral:rRNA from 1 species